rnacentral:misc_RNA from 1 species
AAAUUGCUGCCAAUCGUUUUACCUAGCAUUAAGAAAAAAUUUGAACCGUUAGAACAUUUGUAGAUGUGAAGAAAGCCUGUGUAAAUCAUAUAUAAUAUUCCCCAGUGCCAACAAAAGGUUCAUGAACAUGUUCGUCCAAAGAUUUAAGCCUCAGUGAUAUGCUGACCAUGUUAAGAAGUAUAUUUUAAUUCAACUAAAUUGCCAUAUAAACACAUGCUAUGCUAGACAACAUAGAAAUGAAGAAUGAAAGCUCCAAGCCCUUUGCUUUAGUGACACUUCUCUAAAUUAUACCCUUAGCUCAAUACCAAAUUAUACACGCAACAAAUAAGGCAAAUUAAUAAGAAUUUCAUACACAACAUCUCAAAGAUUCGGAGUAAGAAUAAGGUUCAUGCCAUAAUAAGAAAUAUGAAACUACUAACAAGUGAACCAAAAUGCCAGAAAAGUGGAAGGGCCAAAUUCUCAAUUUGACCCUUCAACUAUGGGCCAAGGGAAGAUUCCAUCAUCCAACUUCAAUUUGGUCAAAUGAAGCCCUCCAUGUACACGAAUUUGGGCAAUUAGGCCCCAACUGAUAAUAUAGUUUGAGCUUUGCAACACACCCGGCAUUGAAUCCAAAACUUCCCAACCAAAAUCACUGAAGGCAAGCACUUUCCCCUUCUCCUCAGCUAUUAUCCAAUUUAAAUACCCAUUAAAAUGCUUGUUCACUCAUCAAGUUUCUUUCUCACAGCCAUAAAUUUUCUCGAGAAAGAAGCACUCAGCAACCUUUUGAUUUCUUUGUUUCUCUAAUGGCUUGAACCAAAACGAAAUCAACAGGAGGAAAGGCUCCACAUAACCAGCUAGCUACCAAGGCUGUCUGGAAAUCAGCUUCGGUGACCAGAAGAGUCAAUGAACCUCGCCUUUUCAUGCCAAGAGAGUCACUAUCAUGCCCAAGGACAUGCCAUGAUAGUAAAUAAAUUUUCUAUUUAGUUUAUGCCUCUUUUUCCCCUCUAUCUGUCUCUAGGGCUAAUUUUCUAUAUUUUGGAUUAUCGAGUCCUCAUUGGUCAUGUAAAUAUCUGGAGAUUUUAAUGAGUAUUAAAAUUGGCUUUCAAGUUUAAUGCCCUUCACUGAGUUGUCUUCUUUUAAAGCAUCAUUAGCAAAGAAGAUGCAAAGGAAGAAGGUGCAUGUCAAAUUCCUCUGAAGUAAACCCCCUUAACUUGUUUUGCUCUCAAGCACCAUCAAGUGAUCAACAUUUGGGAAUUUCGGGUUUAAUCGCCCAAAUUUUUGUAUUAGAGGGUUUAGAUUGUACCAAAUUGAAGUUGGAGGAUGAUAUUUUCUCUUCGUCCAUAAUUGACGGGCCAAAUUGAGCAUUAGGCCAAGUGAAAAUUGGUAGCAAGCUGCAAAACAAAUAGGAAACAGAUAUACCUGGGAACAAUCUCGGGAGUG